GUGAAAUGUAAAUGUCCUCAGCCAGUAGCACAGGCCCUGUUGUAAUGUGGAUGGCCUCAUCUAACAACUCUGUCCCUGGUGAAAUAUGGAUGGUAUUGGUCAGCACCACACACCCUGGUGUAAUGUGAAUGACCUUAGCCAACACCACUGGCCCUGGUGAAAUGUGCAUGAUAUCGGUCAGCACCAGAGGCCCAGGUGUAAUGUGGAUGGCAUCAACGAGCAGCAGAGGCCCUGGUGGGGUGAAGAUGGCCACACAGCAAUCACUUUCCCUGGUGUAAUGUGGAUGGUAGAAGCCGGCAUCACAGGCCGUGAUGUAAUGUGGAUCGCCUCAGCCAAAAGCACAGGCCCUGGUGUGGUGAAGAUGGCCUCACGGGAAGCACUGUCCCUUGUGUAAUGUGUAUGGCCUCAGCCAACAACAGUGGCCCUGGUGAAAUGUGGAUUAUAUUGGCCAGCACCACAGGCCCUGGUGUAAUGUGAAUAUCCUCAGCCAGUAGUAAAGGCCCUUGUGUUUUCUGGAACGCAUCAGCCGGCAACACAAGCCCUGGUGUAAUGUGGAUGGCCUCAGCCAGCACCACAGGCCCUGGUUUGGUGAUGAUGGCAUCACAGGAAGCACUGGCAGUGGUGUAAUGUGGAUGGCCUGAGCCAACAACACUGGCCCUGGUGAAAUGUGGAUGGUAUUGGCCAGCACCAAAGGCCCUGGUGUAAUGUUGAUGUCAUCAUCCAGCACCAAAGGCCCUGGUGUGCUGAUGAUGGCCUGACAGGAAGCACUGUCCCUGAUGUAAAGUAUAUGGCCUCAGCCAACAACAGUGGCCCUGUUGAAAUGUGGAUGGUAUCAUUGAGUAGAACAGGCCCUGGUGUAAUGUGGAUAGAAUCAUCCAACAGUACAGUCCCUGGUUUGGUGAAGAUUUCCUCACAGGAAGCACUGUCCCUGGUGUGAAGUGUAUGGCCUCAGCCAUCAACAGUGGCCCUGGUGAAAUGUGGAUGGUAUUGGCCAGCACAACAGGCCAUGUUGUAAUGUGAAUGUCCUCAGCCAGUAGACCAGGUCCUUGUGUACUGUGGAUCGCAUCAGCCAGCAACACCACAGGCACUGCUGAAAUGUGGUUGUUUUCGGCCAGCAACACAGGCCCUUGGGUAAUUUGGAUGGCUAGCAGCACAGGCCCUGGUCUGGUGAAGAUGGCCUCACAGAAAUCACUGGCCCUGGUGUAUUGUGGAUGGCAUCAGCCAUCAACACAGGCCCUCAUGAAAUAUAGGUGGCCUCAGCCAGUAGCACAGGACCUACUGCAAUGUGAAUGGCCUCAGCCAGCAACACAGUCGCUGGUGUAAUGUUAAUGUCCUUAUCCAACCCCAUGGCCCCGGUGCAAUGUGGAUGGCCUCAGCCAGCAGCACAGGACCUGGUGUAAUGUGGAUGGCAUAAUCUAACAACACUGGCCCUUGUGAAAUAUGGAUGGUAUUGGUAAGCACCACACACCCAUGUGUAAUGUGGAUGGCUUUAGCUGACACCACUGGCCCUGGUGUAAUGUGCAUGAUAUCGGCCAGCAUCAAAGGCCCUAAUGUGGAUGGCCUCAACGAGCAUCAAAGGCCCUGGUGGGGUAAAGAUGGCCCUUUACUCUACCAGCAAUACAUGACAUAAAUACACAUAUAAACAUUAUAAGACAUAAAUACACACAUAAACAUUAUAAGACAUAAAAACAAGUCAAAGAUAUUUGCAACAAACAGAACUCAGUGCAAGAAAGUUACUUACCAGCAAUACAACACAUAAAUACACAUUUAACAGCAAUACAAGACAUAAAUACACACAUAAACAUUACAAGACAUACAUACACACAUAAACAUUACAAGACAUAAAAACAAGUCAAAGAUAUUUGCAAUAAACAGA
ensembl:lncRNA